GACGAACGCUGGCGGCGUGCCUAAUACAUGCAAGUAGAACGCUGAAGGAAGGAGCUUGCUCUUUCCGGAUGAGUUGCGAACGGGUGAGUAACGCGUAGGUAACCUGCCUGGUAGCGGGGGAUAACUAUUGGAAACGAUAGCUAAUACCGCAUAACAGUAGAUAUCGCAUGAUAGCUGCUUGAAAGGUGCAAUUGCACCACUACCAGAUGGACCUGCGUUGUAUUAGCUAGUUGGUGAGGUAACGGCUCACCAAGGCAACGAUACAUAGCCGACCUGAGAGGGUGAUCGGCCACACUGGGACUGAGACACGGCCCAGACUCCUACGGGAGGCAGCAGUAGGGAAUCUUCGGCAAUGGACGGAAGUCUGACCGAGCAACGCCGCGUGAGUGAAGAAGGUUUUCGGAUCGUAAAGCUCUGUUGUAAGAGAAGAACGAGUGUGAGAGUGGAAAGUUCACACUGUGACGGUAUCUUACCAGAAAGGACGGCUAA
rnacentral:rRNA from 1 species